AUUGAACGCUGGCGGCAGGCCUAACACAUGCAAGUCGAACGGUAGCACAGAGAGCUUGCUCUCGGGUGACGAGUGGCGGACGGGUGAGUAAUGUCUGGGAAACUGCCCGAUGGAGGGGGAUAACAACUGGAAACGGUAGCUAAUACCGCAUAAUGUCGCAAGACCAAAGAGGGGGACCUUCGGGCCUCUUGCCAUCGGAUGUGCCCAGAUGGGAUUAGCUUGUUGGUGAGGUAAUGGCUCACCAAGGCGACGAUCCCUAGCUGGUCUGAGAGGAUGACCAGCCACACUGGAACUGAGACACGGUCCAGACUCCUACGGGAGGCAGCAGUGGGGAAUAUUGCACAAUGGGCGCAAGCCUGAUGCAGCCAUGCCGCGUGUGUGAAGAAGGCCUUCGGGUUGUAAAGCACUUUCAGCGGGGAGGAAGGCGAUACGGUUAAUAACCGUGUUGAUUGACGUUACCCGCAGAAGAAGCACCGGCUAACUCCGUG
rnacentral:rRNA from 1 species